rnacentral:rRNA from 1 species
GACGGAACCGAGCGAACGUUGUUCGGAAUCACUGGGCUUAAAGGGCGCGUAGGCGGGCUGUCAAGUCUGGGGUGAAACUCCCGCGGCUCAACCGUGGAACUGCCUCAGAUACUGACGGCCUCGAGGGAGAUAGGGGCGAGCGGAACUAAUGGUGGAGCGGUGAAAUGCGUUGAUAUCAUUAGGAACUCCGGUGGCGAAGGCGGCUCGCUGGAUCUUUUCUGACGCUGAGGCGCGAAAGCUAGGGGAGCAAACGGG